CCCGAGUGGCCUUUGGCACCUUGUCCUGAAUUUGGGAGCGCUGGGGACAGUUUGGGCUCGGCAGCUUCAGAGCUGGAUUGGAGCAGUCCCUGGAAAGAAUCAGGAGAGUGGAGAUGCUGGAAUUGCCUCUCUGGGUGUGUGCUGAGUUCUGGCUGCAGGGGACUGUCAGGCCUUGGUGGCUGUGAGUUCCUGUUCUUCUCCCUGGGAAACUGGAAAGAGUCAUUAAUUGGAUUGCA